CUAGCUUCUUGUCGGUAUUCAGUUCUAUAUGGUAGUCCUGGAGGUUGUCCUUGUGGGCGCCCAAACUCCUGAACUUCUCAGAGUAGGGGUUUCCUUUUAGUAUGUCCACUACCUUCCGCACGACCUCUUGGUCCAGGUCUUUGGUGGCUUCCUUGCGAUGUACCAGACUUGGAUCAUCGUCGUAGAAGUAGAGUUGUAGAUGUUCCGGGCGAGAGUUCGGCCCGAAUGAAUGCAUGUUGUGGUACAUCUUGCCUUGAGCUCGGAAUGUGUACACCCCGGACCUCAUGUUUGUGCAGUCGUUGUCUAGGCUGACGCCAAGAGUUGUGAAUGAGAAGUGGCCGUUGAAGAAUCGUAUGCUCUCCCGAAAAUGUCGAGAGUCUGCAUCUGCGCUAGACCAUAACCUCAUUAGCUCCGGGAUAGGCUCUGGUUCAGCCAGCUUUAUAGUUCCGUUUCGACAACAAAAACCAUCGGUCUCACGCUCAAACUUCUUAGCAUGGCAGUGUUCGCAGUUCGGUUCUUGCUUUAGAAUGUGUGUGCUGUUUGGGAGGUUCGAGUACACAAAGUCAAAAGGAUCGAUAGAUUCCGCGCCGGAUGAGUGUGUCGGUGUAUCAAUGUCCAUGUCAUCAGCGUCGUAACCUACAUAUGCAUAGAAUUUCAUAUCAGUAUGUUCAUCUUAACUCGUAUAACAGAGAGGGCUGAUAGAAAGGUUGGCAUAAAUACCUUCACGGGUAUAGCACUGCUCGUCCAUGAGGUCAACAGAGAUGGCAUCCUCGUCCAUGAUACUGCUUAGGAAGCUCUCCAUGUCUCCUACAACAUUAUGGAUUCGGUAACUAUGGCGCUUUAAUGUGCCAAGAUGUAAAUAAAAAAUGUAGUAAAGAUGUGUAUGUUACCCUCGGUCCCAAUGGUAUACGCCGGCAUGCUUGUUGAAGGGGAAGCGGGAGCUGAAUUAUUUUCCUCUCUGGCGGGUAAUUUGUAUGUGCUCGCAUGCAUGUUUAUUGUAGGCAAAGUUGCUGCAGUUGGGCACGGCAUAGCGAUUGAUUCAGCGCAUGGGGUGUUCCUUCUAGCUUCAGCAGUUGCUCUGCGCUGAGCUAGCAAUGCUACCCUCUCCUCUUCAGUUUUGUUUUGCCUAGAUAUGCGCCGUCUUGCAUUCAACUCCUGCUGUUCUUCUUUGGAUUUAUUUUGCCUGCUAGCCCUUUUAUGUAUGUUCCUCUCAUCGACCGACUUGUUUUGCUCGAGUGCUCUUCUACGUGCAUUAAUCUCCUUCCUUUUAUCAUCUGUCAAACUAUUUCGCCGAGCUCUAUCAUUAUCACGUCUUGCUUGAUUUAUAAACUCUGAAAUAUUUUUAAUUGUUUGAUGGUUAGUUGUUCAUACUAUAUAUAUGUUUUUGAAAAUGUACGGGUAUUGUAAAAAAAAUAGAGAAUUACCUUUAAUCAUGACUUCUGGCUGCUUUGGAGUUUGUAUGUCACCGUUGCUCCUUUUCAUCAUGGUUAUUAUGAGAUCGAUAGCUUCGGCAUGUUCAUCAUCACUGCUGAAUGGUUUUGCUGCGGCAUCUUUGUCUUUGCUGGGUGGACACAAUGGGUAGUAUAUGCCUUUCCAUGAAAGUUUGUUAGUUUUAUAAAUAGACACAUGUUUUUUGAAUGUAUAUGUAUUGUAUGAAAUUUGAAAUAUUACCGUUAAUCAUAACUUGUGGUUGUUGUAAGGGUUCUAUGCUAGCGCUGUGGCUAUUUAUCACCGCGGUGUCUUGUUGUGAUGAUACUGAUUUAGUUUUCCUCUGCUUUGCCGAGAACUCUUCGCUUCGACGAUGUAGCAAUGUUUGUCGUUCUCCCGGUGUCACAUGAUUUCUUUGUCUCACAUUUAAGGUAGAUGUACCACCUUCCUGCUGUGUUGCGAUAUAUGCCGGGUUGACCAUCGCAAUUGAUUCUUUGCUUGUCAUGUUGCACUUGUUGGCCUCUUUAUUUUUUUUUGUUUUGCUGAUAGGCUUCACGGCGUUUUUUCAGUUUUUCCUGCUUUUCUUCAUCUGUCAUACGUGCAUGCCGCUCUCUAUCUUUUUUCCGUCUUUGUUCCUUUGCAUCCAUGAUUUUAGAUUGCAGCAAAAAUGGCUUGCCUGCAUGAGAUUUGUACAGUAAGUAUUUUGUGAAGCUAAUUAGAGCAUGUACUAUCUCUUGUUGCAAUAAAUCUAUGGCAGUUGCUAUCCAGGAUGAUAGAACUUGACAGGGUAAACCUAAGUAAGCACACUCCUAAACUUUUCUUGGCAUUCUGUAAUGCUUGUCAUGGUUUAAGUUCUGAUCAGUACACUAUUGGAAUUUUCAUCUCAGUUCAUAUUCAACCUAUAUCCUAUUCGAAUUUCAUCUCAGUUCAUAUUCAACCUAUAUCGAAACUUGAAAAGUAGUACAUCUCAUCUACUUGCUAUUUGGUGCACGGUGGAGAGGGCAUAACCCCCCAAAUAUGAAUUCUUUGCAGGUUUUUUUUUGGUUUUCUACAUAUUACAUUGGCAUAGUCUGAUAUUCAAAUGACAGAUGUCUCGAUUGAGCAAAGUAGUUUGCUCCUUGAAGAUGCCUGGCAAAUUGGUAGCAAGCGUGGAGGAUGGGUGGUUUGACAGUUGGACUUCCGGUGAACAGAGCAAGCGUGGAGGAUGGGUGGUUUGACAGUUGGACUUCCGGCGAACAGCAAUUUCGAGGAAGGAGGGUGAAAUCAAUUUUGAGCACACAGGGGGAAAUCGUGUUGAGUAGUCAGAACUUGUGGUGGUGUGUGUUGCUUAUUCUGUAUGUUUAUAUAGGAGGACCGGAAGAACGAUGUGCUCCUGGUCGAACUUGGUCAGUUGUGUUCGAUCAGGAGACGGUAAGUUUUUUUAUGUUGGACACGGUCAGCUAUGUAUUAUGGGCCUUCCAAUUUAGAUUUUGGUGGCCCACAUAGCCUGAUCGAUUCCACCUUGCUAAUAGCACAAGAUGCCUGAAGAACGAUGUGCUCCUGGUCGAACUUGGUCAGUUGUGUUCGAUCAGGAGACGGUAAGUUUUUUUAUGUUGGACACGGUCAGCUAUGUAUUAUGGGCCUUCCAAUUUAGAUUUUGGUGGCCCACAUAGCCUGAUCGAUUCCACCUUGCUAAUAGCACAAGAUGUAGCGCUCGCGGUAUCGGAUCGUGAGACCUUUGGUUC